rfam:Megamonas hypermegale ART12/1 draft genome.
GCGGUCGUGGCGAAAUGGCAGACGCGCUAGCUUCAGGCGCUAGUGGGGGAUACCUCAUGGUGGUUCAAAUCCACUCGGCCGCA